GUGGGUGGGAUGUUGGGACUGGGAGUAGCAUGAGCUCUGCUCCUCCCCGGAUUUCUCCAGCCAGAUUUCUUGGUGGAUGAACUGUGCCUGGAUGCAUCUCUAGAGAUUAUGGAUUCGGAUGGUGCCAAUGGAGGGAUGGGGAUGGUGUGUGUCCUGAGAAUCUCCCUGGACUUGAGCAGCAGACAGAGCGCCAGGAGGGAGGUGCAUCCAGAGCAUGUGGUUUGCAGCUCGGAGCUCAAUUACCCCGACAAGAGGAUGGAUGGGAGAGCACUGCGUGCCCGGGGCCGGUCUGGGAACCCCUCCGGAGCGUGGGGAGCUCGGGGUGGUGCGUUUUGUGCAAGGGUUUCUCCGGGCAGGGGGAGAAGCCAGCCCUCAGUAUGGGCUGUGCUCAGAGCAGCAUCUGGCGGGGGCUGCGGAAGCGGCGCUGGGCCGUUGUGUCACACGGAAAAUCUUUUGGAGGGAGCGGGUGGAAUUUCAGCUCGGCAAACCAUUAAAAUAGCAGCGAUUCUGCACCAAAUAAAUUAAGGCUGAUGAUCUGAGACUGGUAAAGCUAAUGAUAGAAAGGGGUCCUGUCCUGGAAAGGGAUUUGUCUAGCAGGAGCUGAGCUGAGAGCAUCUGAACUCCAUUAGCUCUGAGGGCUCUAGAGGCAGCAGGGUCUGCCCGCGAGCACCUCGGCUGCGGGGUGUGGGAGCCCUGCACUGGCACCAUUCAUCUCACCCAGAGACCAGUGCCCACCAGCAGGCCACAACUGGGAGGAAUUAAGAGCUGUGCAGGCACGAAAUGCAUCUCUGGUUUGGAAGUGUGCUCCCAUCAAUUUACCCCCGCAGUUGGGGCUGGUUCUAAGUGGAGAGGGCUCAGUCUCACCUCAUUCCUAACCCGGGCUGAUACUGAUUGGGCUUGUGAUAUGUG
rnacentral:lncRNA from 1 species